GGGGUGGUUGAAGAGCGGGUUUGUAAAUUUCUCGUAUUUGGGGAAUAUGAGAAAUUUACUGACCCGCUCCACAACCACCCCUCCUCAGUAUA